UACGUAGGGGGCAAGCGUUGUCCGGAUUUAUUGGGCGUAAAGAGCACGCAGGCGGUUUGGCAAGUCGGAUGUGAAAACCCGAAGCUCAACUUCGGGCGUGCAUCCGAAACUGCCCGACUAGAGGUAGGUAGGGGAGAUCGGAAUCCUGGUGUAGCGGUGAAAUGCGCAGAUAUCAGGAGGAACACCGGUGGCGAAGGCGGGACUCUGG
rnacentral:rRNA from 1 species